rnacentral:lncRNA from 1 species
GAAAUUAAAUUAAAUUAAAUCUUUCCCUCUCCAUAUUCUCCUACCACAAAUUUUGAUGUAAAAAACCGUUCCAUGCAGCUGCACCCAUCCACCACCACCACCACCACAUGGGUCUUCAUUCUCGCCGCCGUCGCCGCCACGAAUCCUCUCCCGGCAACUUCCCACCUCUCUUCCCACCAUCCAUCUCCAUCCCUUCUUCACCCCUCUUCCACCGUACCCGCCAUGAAUCCUCCCCGGGACCCUUCCCUCCAUUAUCCCCACCACCACCACCACCACCACUAUCCGUUCCAGAAUCCCCCCACAACCACCAUGAAUCACCCUCACCCUCAACCUCUCGUAACCGCCGUGAUUCCUACCCAGGACCCUUCCCUUCAUUCCUCUCACCAUC